GGAUGAACGCUAGCGGCGCGCUUAAUGCAUGCAAGUCGAACGAUGAGGCCCCUACGGGGGUACAUCAGUGGCAGACGGGUGAGUAACACGUAGGUAACCUGCCCUCGAGACGGGGAUAACGGCUGGAAACGGUCGCUAAGACCCGAUAUAGUCUGACCUUCGGGAGAAGGUGAGAGGAAAGGCUUCGGUGCUCGGGGAGGGGCCUGCGGCCCAUCAGCUAGUUGGAGAGGUAACGGCUCCCCAAGGCAAUGACGGGUAGGGGGUGUGAGAGCAUGGCCCCCCACACUGGGACUGAGACACGGCCCAGACUCCUACGGGAGGCAGCAGCAGGGAAUAUUGCGCAAUGGACGGAAGUCUGACGCAGCGACGCCGCGUGGAUGACGAAGGCCUUCGGGUUGUAAAAUCCUUUUCCGGGCGAUGAGGAAGGACACUAGCCUGGGAAUAAGCGUCGGCUAACUACGUGCCAGCAGCCGCGGUAAGACGUAGGACGCGAGCGUUAUCCGGAUUUACUGGGCGUAAAGCGCCUGCAGGCGGUCAGGUAAGUCGGUUGUGAAAGCCCCGUGCUCAACGCGGGGAGGCCAAGCGAUACUGCGUGACUUGAGGGCGGAAGAGGGGAGUGGAAUUCCCGGUGUAGCGGUAAAAUGCGCAGAUAUCGGGAGGAACACCAGUGGCGAAGGCGGCUCCCUGGACCGCACCCGACGCUCAGAGGCGAAAGCUAGGGGAGCGAACAGGAUUAGAGACCCUGGUAGUCCUAGCCCUAAACGCUGGAUGCUAGGUGUAGGCCUGAUGAGGCUCUGUGCCGGAGCGAACGCGAUAAGCAUCCCGCCUGGGAACUACGCCCGCAAGGCUAAAACUCAAACGAUUUGACGGGGACCCGCACAAGCAGCGGAGCGUGUGGUUUAAUUCGAUGCUACACGAAGCACCUCACGUGGGUUAGACAUGCUGGUGGUACCGAACCGAAAGGGGAGGGACCCUUCGGGGAGCCAACACAGGUGCUGCAUGCCUGUCGUCAGCUCGUCCCGUGAGUUGUCGGGUUGAGUCCCGUAACGAGCGCAACCCUUGCUCUUAGUUAUACGUGUCUAAGGGGACUGCCGGCGACAAGCCGGAGGAAGGUGGGGAUGACGUCAAGUCAGCAUGGCCUUGAUAUCCAGGGCUACACACACGCUAC
rnacentral:rRNA from 1 species